GGUGGUUCAGUGGUAGAAUGCUUGCCUUGCAUGCAUGAGGCACUGGGUUCGAUUCCUCAGCACCA
rnacentral:tRNA from 1 species